GUUGUUGUGGCCGAGAGGUCAAGGCAAUGGACUUGAAAUCCAUUGGCGUCUCCCCGUGUAGGUUUGAAUCCUACCAGCAAUG